CUCUCUUCUCUUUCCCUCUGGCUGCUCUCCUCCCCUCUCCUCCCUCCUUCUCUCUCCCCCCUCCCUUCUUCCCUCCCCUCCCUUUUUCAGCAUCUCCCCUACCCUUUCUUUCUCUUCUCUCCCUCUCUCCCCUCCCUCUCUCCCCCUCCCGCUCUCUUCUCCCUCUCCCUACAAGUCUGGCACUGAAGGAGAACUGUUUUGCUUUGCUCCGGGAAGAGUGCAGACACGACGUGAAAUCCGGAGCUCUUUGCGUGGUGCAUUUAAAAUGCUUCCUUAUUUAUAUUACCCUCAUCCCCUCCCCUCUCCCACCCCCUCACCAGCCCUUCCAAAUUUCCCUAGAAAUCUGUGUAAAGCGUGGAGGGGAAAACAUUUGCAUAAAAAGUGAAGGAGCACGCCAAGGAGUGUCAGCUGCCUCUUCGCUCAACGCUCGCUGGAGAGAGUGACCUCAAACAAAGAUCCACUCAAUGAAAAGAAUGAAGUUCCAUCUUUCUUCCUCCAGUGCCUUGGAUAACCCUGGUGUUUCUCCUCUCCUCGGAAAUAGGGGAGACGAGCAGAGGCAGCUAUAUAAUUUGGGGGGCCCAAUACAAAAUGAAAAUGUAAAAUCCCUUGUUUAAAAAUCAUGAAGAAAGUACCAUUAAAGAUGCUGAAAUGAAAGGUUCUCUCUUCUACAGUCUCUCUCUAGACUCUCUCUAGACUCCCUGUGGAGCUGACUGCUUGCCACUCAAUGUCGUGCUAAAUAAACAUUAUUUUAUUUUCA
rnacentral:lncRNA from 1 species